ACUUUAUAGUUUAUAAGCAUUAUAUACUAAUAAGAAUCAUUGACAAAUCACAUUCCCCUUUUACCACCACAGGACGCACCUCACCAGUAUCAGAGCAACAGCUGUGGGGUGUUUAUGCUGAUGGUGAGAUGCAUUAUUUUCAGAAAUGAUGACUGAUGACUAGUUUGUAAAACAACUAACUCAUUUGUAUGUUAAUUUCAGUACGCAAUGUAUUCUACCCUCAAAAGCAAUAUGAUUUCAGUGAGGGGGACAUGCUCUCUAUCAGGAGGUGGUGGUUGGACAGGUUGCUGUUGGAGACCUUUAUGCUUGAAAGCCCUGCAGAACUAGCUGGCUCCUUCUCACCCUCUCCAUCUCCCCAUCUCAGUCACACCUUCCAAUCACUAAGCAGUGAAAGCCCUGCAGGACUAGCUGGCACACCAAGCUCACCCUCUCCAUCUCCCCAUCUCAGCCACACGCUCCAAUCUGGCACAACAGAGGACAGGCCAUUCUUACCACCCGAAGUCCUUCAGCAAAUUGUACAAGAGACGCUGAGACUGGACAUGGCGAUGCUUGGCGUGUUCAACAGGGUUUCAAACACAUUCCGAGAACUAAUCAAGCCUCUCCAUCCUUCCAUAUAUAUAAAUGACAGUUUGGCAGAGGACAUUAAGCUUAAUAAA